AGCGAACGCUGGCGGCAGGCCUAACACAUGCAAGUCGAACGAAGUCUUCGGACUUAGUGGCGGACGGGUGAGUAACACGUGGGAACGUGCCUUUAGGUUCGGAAUAACCCAGGGAAACUUGUGCUAAUACCGAAUGUGCCCUUCGGGGGAAAGAUUUAUCGUCUUUAGAGCGGCCCGCGUCUGAUUAGCUAGUUGGUGAGGUAAAGGCUCACCAAGGCGACGCUCAGUAGCUGGUCUGAGAGGAUGAUCAGCCACAUUGGGACUGAGACACGGCCCAAACUCCUGCGAGUAGCAGCAGUGGGGAAUCUUGCGCAAUGGGCGAAAGGCUGACGCAGCCAUGCCGCGUGAAUGAUGAAGGUCUUAGGAUUGUAAAAGUCUUUCACCGGGGACGAUAAUGGCGGUACCCGGAGAAGAAGCCCCGGCUAACUUCGUGCCAGCAGCCGCGGUAAUAC
rnacentral:rRNA from 1 species